GUUGUGAAGAAUUUGUGACAAGAUGGAUGCUCUUCUGCAAGCCAUACUUUUACUCCGAUUAUACAGAAGAAGGAAGAUGAAGAAAAUACGAAAUUUCUGUUGGGUUCAUGCCAUACAUUUAAGAAGACCAGUGUUCGGUUCUUUCAAUUACCUCUUUCCGGAUCUACUCGAUGAUGCCAAAAAAUUUUAUAACUAUUUUCGCAUGAGCCCAGAUUUGUUUCUUCAACUAAGAAAUUUUAUUGCCGAACGUAUUCGAAGAGAAAAUACCAACUACAGAACUGCCAUUUCCAUUUCCAAUAAAACAGAUACCUAGUAACAGGAGAAUCGUUUACAUAUACUAAGC